ensembl:lncRNA
GGCUAAACUGCUGGCAAAACUCUUAUUGUUUGUACCACUCUUGAAAAAGACUCUUGGGACUAGCAGUGGAAUCCUUGCCAUUGAUUGGCUGGUUAAAUAGAGGACUAUUAGCUUCAGACAGGCUAGAUUGAUUAUACAGCAGCAGCAAGAGCUAAGACUCGGAGCUGAGAUGUCAGCUCUGAGACCCAGGAAGAAAUAACAGACUUCACCUUGGAAUAGCUCACCUCACUCCUGCAUCAUUAAAGCGGAUUUUGUAAAGAAAACAAAAAUCAACCCCCAUUCCAGCCCCUCCUCAUUCCACCACUGAACAGAAAGAGUUUCCUGCUCCAGGAUUCAAGCACAGCAACAUAUAAGAAGAAAACAUAUCACCAAAUAUUGAUAGAGUAAAUAUAAAGAAAGGUGCCGUUUAGAGAUUAAGGAAUGCGCCAGUGACCACGCGGGACCCAACUGACAAAUUGGUUUAUUGUGGUUGGUGGAAUGAUGGUUCUGCAAAGAUUUCCGUAUCUUUAAAAAAAGUACUUUACUGAUAUGAUUAAGGGUCUUCAGAUGGCAAGAUGUCUCUGGUUGUUUGAGUUGGUGUGGUCCAAUCCUAAACCCCACUAGAAGAGGUAGAAGAGUCAAAAACAGAGAGAGGAGAUGCAGCAGUAAGUGGAAAGUAAAUGGGAUUUUCACUGUUUUACAUCGAACAUAUUGCAGAAGUAUAAAGAUUCCAAAACAUAACCAAAGCCAUGGUUAUACCUCACAAGGAAGUAUGCACAAAGUCAGUAUAACCAAGGAAAUGACAGUUUACUAUCCUAACUAAUCUUCAAAACUCAGCCAAAAAAAAUGCAAAUAUGAAUAAACAAGAUGACAAGAUGGCUCUGAAAACCCUCAGCCAAAAGCUGAUUUCAGGGUACGAAAGUCUAAGAAGACAUAGG